rnacentral:tRNA from 1 species
UCCCUGGUGGUCCAGUGGUUAACAAUCUGCCUUCCAAUGCAGGGAACCUGGGUUCAAUCCCUAGUCAGGGAA